rnacentral:rRNA from 1 species
GACGAACGCUGGCGGCGUGCUUAACACAUGCAAGUCGAACGGAAAGGCCCUGCUUUUGUGGGGUGCUCGAGUGGCGAACGGGUGAGUAACACGUGAGUAACCUGCCCUUGACUUUGGGAUAACUUCAGGAAACUGGGGCUAAUACCGGAUAGGAGCUCCUGCUGCAUGGUGGGGGUUGGAAAGUUUCGGCGGUUGGGGAUGGACUCGCGGCUUAUCAGCUUGUUGGUGGGGUAGUGGCUUACCAAGGCUUUGACGGGUGGCCGGCCUGAGAGGGUGACCGGCCACAUUGGGACUGAGAUACGGCCCAGACUCCUACGGGAGGCAGCAGUGGGGAAUAUUGCACAAUGGGCGGAAGCCUGAUGCAGCAACGCCGCGUGCGGGAUGACGGCCUUCGGGUUGGAAACCGCUUUCGCCUGUGACGAAGCGUGAGUGACGGUAAUGGGUAAAGAAGCACCGGCUAACUACGUG